UACAGAGGGGGCAAGCGUUGUUCGGAAUUACUGGGCGUAAAGGGCGCGUAGGCGGCCUUCUAAGUCAUGCGUGAAAUCCCCGGGCUCAACCCGGGAACUGCGUUUGAUACUGGAAGGCUUGAAUCCGGGAGAGGGAUGUGGAAUUCCAGGUGUAGCGGUGAAAUGCGUAGAUAUCUGGAGGAACACCGGUGGCGAAGGCGGCAUCCUGGACCGGUAUUGACGCUGAGACGCGAAAGCCAGGGGAGCAAACGGG
rnacentral:rRNA from 1 species